AGAGUUUGAUCAUGGCUCAGAUUGAACGCUGGCGGCAGGCCUAACACAUGCAAGUCGAGCGGUAGCACAGAGAGCUUGCUCUCGGGUGACGAGCGGCGGACGGGUGAGUAAUGUCUGGGAAACUGCCUGAUGGAGGGGGAUAACUACUGGAAACGGUAGCUAAUACCGCAUAACGUCGCAAGACCAAAGUGGGGGACCUUCGGGCCUCAUGCCAUCAGAUGUGCCCAGAUGGGAUUAGCUAGUAGGUGGGGUAAUGGCUCACCUAGGCGACGAUCCCUAGCUGGUCUGAGAGGAUGACCAGCCACACUGGAACUGAGACACGGUCCAGACUCCUACGGGAGGCAGCAGUGGGGAAUAUUGCACAAUGGGCGCAAGCCUGAUGCAGCCAUGCCGCGUGUGUGAAGAAGGCCUUCGGGUUGUAAAGCACUUUCAGCGGGGAGGAAGGCGAUAAGGUUAAUAACCUUGUCGAUUGACGUUACCCGCAGAAGAAGCACCGGCUAACUCCGUGCCAGCAGCCGCGGUAAUACGGAGGGUGCAAGCGUUAAUCGGAAUUACUGGGCGUAAAGCGCACGCAGGCGGUCUGUCAAGUCGGAUGUGAAAUCCCCGGGCUCAACCUGGGAACUGCAUUCGAAACUGGCAGGCUAGAGUCUUGUAGAGGGGGGUAGAAUUCCAGGUGUAGCGGUGAAAUGCGUAGAGAUCUGGAGGAAUACCGGUGGCGAAGGCGGCCCCCUGGACAAAGACUGACGCUCAGGUGCGAAAGCGUGGGGAGCAAACAGGAUUAGAUACCCUGGUAGUCCACGCCGUAAACGAUGUCGAUUUGGAGGUUGUGCCCUUGAGGCGUGGCUUCCGGAGCUAACGCGUUAAAUCGACCGCCUGGGGAGUACGGCCGCAAGGUUAAAACUCAAAUGAAUUGACGGGGGCCCGCACAAGCGGUGGAGCAUGUGGUUUAAUUCGAUGCAACGCGAAGAACCUUACCUGGUCUUGACAUCCAC
rnacentral:rRNA from 1 species